AGGAGGGAUGGGUGGCAGGGGUAGAAUGGUGUGGGAAGAGCUUCCUGCUGAUUUUUGAGUUUGAGUGUGAGGUUGUUGGAGUGGCGUGAAAUGUGGAGGACGACACGGAGGAUGACCUGAAACAUCCCUCGACCGGACCAUGUACAGGAGAACCACCCCCCGGAGAGGACGACGACCUGAAUGAUCCUACGAUCGGACCAUCAUCAGGAGGACGACCCCCUGGACAGGAGGACGACCUGAAGGAUCCCACGACCGGACCAUCUUCAGGAGGACCACCCCCUGGAGGACGACCCGAAGGAUCCCAUGACCAGACCAUUUACAGGAGGACCACCACUUGGAGAGGAGGAUGACCGGGAGGGUCCAACGACCAGACCAUCUUCAGGAGGAUCACCCCCUUGAGAUGACGACCCGAAGGAUCUCCUAACGAGGACCACCCUCUGGACAGGACAACGAGCAGAGAAGAACCCAAAGGAAUCCACGACAGGACCAUCUACAGGAGAAAGCUGCCAAGCCAAAUAUUGAAAGCCACCCAAGAAGCAUAUGCUCUGUCCAGACAAGGGUCUUCCAUUCAACCUGGAUUGUAGCAUCCCCUCUUCUGCAUUAUGUCAUUCAGCCAAGUGAGAGUGCUUGCUGACAUGGUCAAAUUGUGUCAAUAGCACUGUGAAACAAUCUUUUAUUCAGUCGGUCAAGAACUAACGGACAAUUGCCAGGCAUCUAGAAUCCCGCCAACAUGCAGCUGCUCUUGAAUGGACUAGUCACUUCCUCCAGAUAGCUACCAUGGACAACUUUAAAAGCUGAUGAAGCAGUUUUAUUUCUCUUGUGAAGUUAUGUUGAUAGUACUGUAAAACCAGUAAAGACUCAAGAGAACAACAUUCCUUGUAUGAUAUCCAGCUGGAGAUUUUAUUUAUAAGAAGUCACUGAGAUACAUGUUCACUGAUUUAGAACAAGACAUUUCGUUCUUACUUUCAGUCCAAACUUUGGUGAUAUUAGAAGGUCUAGCCACUAUUCUGGUCAAACAAGUCUCACAGUGCUCUGGUGCUACAUUUUCUGUAUAUCACACUCAGGCUUAAAGUGACACAGUGGGGCUGUAGCUGUAGAGAAGGGCAGAUAGGUUGAUAGGGAGCUAGGUGGUUAGGCUAGGUUCAGAGUAGGAUUUCGUAGGUGUUGCCAUGGCCAU
rnacentral:lncRNA from 1 species